UAACAAAAUCAUAUGUUUCUGCAACAUCUUUAUUUUUUAUUUUAUUUCUUUUAUUUUGUAUUUUAAUUUUUCAUUAAAAUGAUUAAAGUGACGCCGUUUUAAUUUUUUUAAAAAAAACAUUUAAACUGCCGGUUCAGGAAAAUUGUUAAUUUUUUUGGUUUUAGCGAUUUUGACCUGUUUACAUAGGUUUAAUGUCAUAUCCGAACCACCAAUUGAAUCAGAUCAAUUACCUAGUCGGCUCUGAUUCAACCGGUCAAAUUUUUAAAACACCGCUCCUUAGUAUAUAUAUGAAUGUUGGAUCCUUUACUUUUCAUUAUUUGUUUUCUUUUCGUUUAUAUAAACAAAUACUCUUUUUCAUUUUCUAAAAUGAUGGACAGGUUUUGAAGAUAAUACAAUAUUUUUAUUAAAAGGUCAAUUUUUAUGUGAUAAAAUUUUUUUAUUGUGAAAAAUAAUAUUUUGAAGCUUCUUUAAUGAGUAUGGAAGCCAAAGAAUGAUAGCCAAGAACCUGAAGGAGGAUCCAGUAAUAAUUUGGAGAUCACUCAGAGCCAAGCUGAAGCAUCAGCUAAUGUGGAAAAGCCUACAGAAGAGCCAGAGAAGCAUCAAGAGGAUGAGGGAAUAUGGACUUCAGUGAAUCGAGGAAGUAAUAGAGAGAAACUCAAGGAAUAUGGAAGGCUAUCAUGAGGUGGCUGCACAUUGAGCACCAUGAUAGUGGUUGGAUGAAGGUGAAGGAAUGGGCGAUCAAAAUCUGUAAAAGUAAAAACUGGAGGAAAAAAUUCUUUCAAAUAGCUAUGGCUGAAAUUGUAUAUGCUAUAUGGAUGAAUAGAAAUAGGAAAGUGUAUAGAAAGGAUACCAUAGAUAGUGAGAUAGUUACCCAUAUUAUAGAGAAUAUUGUCAAUAGAGCUUGGACUAUUCCAAAGAUUAGAGAAAAGUUAGCUUUCUUAAUGAUGUAUUGAGUGGGUUUGUCCCCAUUUGCUGGACCCUAUGGGUCACUUGUACUAAUUGU